rnacentral:rRNA from 1 species
GGGAGGCAGCAGUGGGGAAUAUUGCACAAUGGGCGCAAGCCUGAUGCAGCCAUGCCGCGUGUGUGAAGAAGGCCUUCGGGUUGUAAAGCACUUUCAGUAGUGAGGAAGGUGGUAGUGUUAAUAGCGCUAUCAUUUGACGUUACCUACAGAAGAAGCACCGGCUAACUCCGUGCCAGCAGCCGCGGUAAUACGGAGGGUGCGAGCGUUAAUCGGAAUUACUGGGCGUAAAGCGCAUGCAGGUGGUUUGUUAAGUCAGAUGUGAAAGCCCCGGGCUCAACCUGGGAAUUGCAUUUGAAACUGGCAAACUAGAGUACUGUAGAGGGGGGUAGAAUUUCAGGUGUAGCGGUGAAAUGCGUAGAGAUCUGAAGGAAUACCGGUGGCGAAGGCGGCCCCCUGGACAGAUACUGACACUCAGAUGCGAAAGCGUGGGGAGCAAACAGGAUUAGAUACCCUGGUAGUCCACGCCGUAAACGAUGUCUACUUGGAGGUUGUGGCCUUGAGCCGUGGCUUUCGGAGCUAACGCGUUAAGUAGACCGCCUGGGGAGUACGGUCGCAAGAUUAAAACUCAAAUGAAUUGACGGGGGCCCGCACAAGCGGUGGAGCAUGUGGUUUAAUUCGAUGCAACGCGAAGAACCUUACCUACUCUUGACAUCCA